rfam:Trichobilharzia regenti genome assembly, scaffold: TRE_contig0007943
AUCCAGAUGACGAGUCCCAAAUAGAACGAGAUGCACAUCUUGGAU